AGAGUUUGAUCAUGGCUCAGAACGAACGCUGGCGGCGCGUUUAAGCAUGCAAGUCGAGCGGCAAGGGCCUUCGGGCCCCUAGAGCGGCGGACGGGUGAGUAACACGUGGACAAUCUGCCCCCCGGCCCGGGAUAGCCCAGGGAAACCUGGAUUAAUACCGGAUGAGACGGGACCCGCGAUGGCGGGAUCCGGGAAAGGCGCUGCGGCGCCGCCGGGGGAUGAGUCUGCGUCCCAUUAGCUAGACGGCGGGGUAACGGCCCACCGUGGCGACGAUGGGUAGCCGGCCUGAGAGGGUGGACGGCCACAUUGGAACUGAGACACGGUCCAGACUCCUACGGGAGGCAGCAGCUAAGAAUCUUCCGCAAUGGGCGAAAGCCUGACGGAAGCGACGCCGCGUGAACGAAGAAGGCCGUGAGGUUGUAAAGUUCUUUUCGGGAGGGGGAACAACCGUGGCAGGGAAUGGCCGCGGGAUGACGUGAAUCCCGGAAUAAGCCCCGGCUAACUACGUGCCAGCCGCCGC
rnacentral:rRNA from 1 species